CAAACGGCCCUUUUCAGGGCCACCACAAAAUAAGCCAAAGAUAAUU
rfam:Lasius niger Lnig_2.1_16284, whole genome shotgun sequence.